UACAGAGGUGCCGAGCGUUAGGCGGAAUCACUGGGCUUAAAGCGUGCGUAGGCGGGCGUCUAAGUGUCUUGUGAAUCCCACGGCUCAACCGUGGAACUGUUGGGCAUACUGGACGCCUUGAGGCACACAGGGGCGAGCGGAACAAGUGGUGGAGCGGUGAAAUGCGUAGAUAUCACUUGGAACGCCGACGGUGAAAACAGCUCGCUGGGUGUGUCUGACGCUG
rnacentral:rRNA from 1 species